AUGGGGAACAAACAAACAACUAUAAAGAAACAAACAAGAAAUAGCAAGGAUAAAAACAAAAACCAAAGAAAAGAAUAAAAACUCCCUCGGAGCAGAGGAAAAUGAUUCAUCAGCAGAAGGAGACCUUCCAUCUUCUCCUCCAAAUAGAAAUCAUCCAAACCUAGAACUUCGAUCGUAUUCCAGUCAAGAGGUCGCAAGCAAUCGUCGAAUCAAGUCCCUUCAGGAAGCUGUAAUGACCGUCGAUCUUUGUCAACCAUCUCAACAGUUUUAUGAGGGGGUAACCACUUGGACGACAUGGAUCUCUGCUUUUUAGCUACAUCGUAGUCAGAAUUUUACUACAGCCAAUAACAUCAUUCGUCUGAAAAAUAUAAGCUAUCUAAUCCCACAAACUAUCACAAUAAGGAUCUGUUACCUAGUGUAAACCCAAUUGACCCUAUACUUCAUUUGCAAGUCCAUACUUCAAAAUGGCAUGCAUGGCUGAUUUUGGAAACGAGCCAUACCUUAGACAUAAAGGAGAAGGCACAAUUUGCCUAUUGUAUAGGAUAUAGGCAGUAGGAAUCAUAUUGUGUAAUAGUCUCCAAAUAGUGAUUUUAAUUUUAGAAGGGAUGUCUAGGAGCCAUAAUUUUUUGUAAACUGCACUGUAAUCUUGGGAGCUUUCCUCAACCACUACGGAUAAAAUAGUCGCCGAAUCUAUCACCCCUCCAAACAAUCAUGGCUUCGUCAACUGAGCGGGAGAGAGGGAUACACUUGAUGGCCUCAGCUUCCUCCAAAGUAAACACAGUGGUAAUGACUUCCUCUUUCCAACUUGAGUUGUGAUCUAUUAAGUCUGCUACCAUAGAAACUAUAUUAUUAACCACUGUGUUACUAAUUCCCCUCGCCUAUAUAAGAAGCCAACUAUCUCUCCAUAUCAAGUUAUUUAUACCCAAGCCCACUCUCCAGCCCACACCAUCUUCUAAAACCUUUCUAGUUGCAAAAAUACCACGCCAUACAUAUGAUGGGUUUGUUCCCAAAUGAGCAGAGCAGAAGCUUAUAUGCGAGAAAUAUUUAGCUUUAAAGAUACAGGCAACUAAAGAAUCUGGUUUAACUAUAAAUCGGCAACCCUGCUUCACCAAAAUGGUGAUAUUAAACUUACAGAGGUCACGAAAACCCAUUCCCUCUUGAUCUUUAGGUUUACUUAAUUCAGACCAACUACACCAAUGCAUACCCUUACGAACAACGUUUUUCUGCUACCAAAACGUAUUCAUAAUUCUUUCUAAUUUGUGAUAAAGAGUUUUGGGAAGUUAAAAGUAGGACAUAGAAUAGAUAGGCAAAGCCUGUAACACUGACUUAAUAUAGACCUCUUUCCCUCAUUGGGAGAGAUAACGAUUAGCCCAAAUAUUAACUUUAAUAGGCAUCCUGUCACAGAGAUGAGAGAAAACUUCUUUUUUACUUCUUCCAACCAGUGUUGGAAGCAAUCCCAAUGUGUGCGAUGUCAUGUUUUCUUUUACCUAGUUCAUUGUGUAGAGAACUAAAAGCAGUGAUUGCACGAUUCUAGUGAUAGAAAAAAGCUGGAAAGAUUGGGUUGCAUUGGUGCUCUUGGAAAUCCUUAUGUAUUUCAAAGAAUGAAGACGGUAUAGGUUUCCGAGAUUUAUCAAAAUCUAACAUUGCAUUGUUAGCAAAGUAAAGUUGGAGACUGAUGGCGAAUCCUACUUCCCUAAUGGCGAGACUAUUUUUUAAAAUUUAAAAAUUCAAAAAAUAAAACUAUUUUUAAAAUUUUAAAAUCAUUAAAAAUAUUUAAAAUUAUAAAUUUUUUAAAUUUAAAAAAUUAAUUAAAUGUUAAUGUGUUAUCUACGUGCAAUCCACAUGUAUGUCACAUCAACAAAGUUAACAAACAUUAACAUUUUCAUCCAUUUUGAUGUGAUUUGACAAAAAUACAAGUUCAAUGGCUAAAAAGACAAAAAAAAUUAACGAAAAUCUAAAAUAACUUUUUAUAAAAUUGAAGAGUCAAAUAAAUUACUAUGAACUAACUACUUAUCACGUUGACUACAAUAAUAAUUUUCAAAAAGGUUAGUAUUACUGUAGACUAAUUUUCAAUAAUAAUGGAUAACAUCCUCAUUACGUAGGAAUCCAUUCACUCUAUGAGAGGCAAUAAUAAUAAGAAAUCUUGGAUGACCAUUAAAAUCGAUUUGGAGAAAGCUUAUGAUUGAGUGCGUUGGGACUUUACCGGUGCCUUGCUUAGAGUUGUUGGUAUUUCGGACUUUCUGAGGAAGGUUAUUAUGUCUGCAAUAUUGACCUCCACCAUAUAAGUUCUACAAAAUGAGGUUCCAACACAAAAGUUCAGGCCGACUAGGGGGAUCUGUUAGGGAUGUCCUUUAUCCUCGUAUUUAUUUAUUUUGUGUAUGGAACAGCUUGGACAUAGUUUCCACUCGACAAUUUUGAAUGGCCAGUGGCAUCCUAUCAGAUUGUUUAGAGUAAGGCUGGAGUUGUCGCAUGUUUUCUUUACUGACGAUUUGGUUAUUUUUAGUAGAACGAAUUUGAAGCAUGCCCAACUUCUUAAAGAGAUUUUGGAUUGUUUUUGUGAUCUUUUUUUGGUCAUCAUAUUAACGCAAGGAAGACAAAUAUUUUUUUCUCGAAAGAAGUUGAUGAAGCUCUAGGGAUGGAAUGAGUAGUCUGCUUGGUUUCUAAAGAGUGGAAAAUAUCGGUUCGUACCUAGGUGUUCCUCUUUUUCACUAGUCACCAAUAGCACCCUUAGAUUUGUGGUGGAUACAGUUCAUGGAAAGCUACGUAGUUAGUGUACAAGCCCAAUUUAGCCAGGGCUCAGUGCACUCAAAACAGACAAGAAAAGAAACUAAAAAUAAUAAACUGACCAGCCCAAACAAAACCCACCUAAAACCUACCCAAAACCAAAUACCCAAAAGACCCAAUUACAAGCCCAAACACCCUGGCCCAACGAGCUAAACUAACCCAAAGACCAAUCAGCAAUAAAAACCCUAGGUACGUAGCACUUAGGUCUUCUGACUACUGCCACCGCCCUUGUCGCAUCACCUCUGCCACCGACCCACCACCCCCACUUGCCCACAUGCGCCAUCGAGUGCCUGCAAAACAAUAAAAGAGACAACAGUAGAAAGAAAAAAGGGAAUCGGCUAUAAAAGUCGAACCCUCCUGUAAUUUUUUCUUCUUCUCCUAGUUUUUGUACGAACAUUUUCAGAAAUAAUAAGGCAAAAAAAAUAGACUCAGAGUGAUUUCUUCGUU